rnacentral:ncRNA from 1 species
ACAAACGCGAUCAUAGCAGCUAGUAAAUUUCAAACCCCACUCAGAGAGUCAGCGGUCGGUGUGAGCUGAUGAGGGCCAGGAAUUGAAUCCACUGCUUAGUAGAUGCCGAUAUAAGGUAUUCCGGAGAAGUCCGAUACACUUUUAGAGUAUUGCUGUUUAGCAUAAACUUGGGUGGUACCACGUCUAAGACGUCCCAUGA